GGCCUCAGAAGAACUCCAUAUUGGCCAUACUCGUUGCCUACUUUCACUUCAUCAUAUGUUUAUAGGCUUUUCCUGAAUGUAAGCACAUACUUUGCAACCCCAGAACUGGACGAAUACAUUGUAUGAGUCACAAACGAUUGAAGCCUACCACGGUGGAAGGCCACGAAAGAGUGUUCAAAGCACUCUCACGCUUUUCAACUUAAUAUUGGUUUGGUUGAGGGUUUUAGGUCUCAUCACACAUAAACAUACAUUUUAAUCUCUAUUAAAACUAUUUUGGUCCUAUUACAACUAUUGGUCCAUUUGAUUGUUUUUAGUUGUAUAUAAUACUCCCACUAUGCUUAUAAAACGGUUUUUAAAGCAAGAGUAUAUGAUACUACUAACAUAACCUUUGCAUUCAUUUGAUGGACUAUAUAGUUGCCUUAGGGCCUUAGGAUGAUUAUGAACCUUUGUUUAGAUUCAACACGAGCCUUGUGUUGAAUCUCGGUCUAGGAAUGGUGAUUGAUUUUAGUUACGCGUUUAAUCACAUUAAGGCGUGUUGUCUUAGGGGCGUUGGACCCAACUACUUCAUUUUCAUGCAUAUCAAAUAAAGCAAGAAAGAAGUACUUCAAAGUAAAGGUGAGCUUAUGCUCAUUACAACAUUUGCAUAAAACAAAUUACUUUAAAGUAAAGAAGAGCUUAUGCCCUUUUACCACAUUUGAUCAAAUCAAAUUACAACCAAAAUCUAAUCUACACAUUCCCAUGGUUCAAACAAAUUUGAAACGGCCUUUCACAUAGCUCAAUUAUAUUAGGCUUAGGUUCAUAAUCACCCUUUAAUUAAUUAACACUUUAACUAAUUAAAUUGAAUGCAACAUUUUCAUUUGGUUUUUGUAUCCAUAAAAUUGAUUUAAAUGGAGCUAAACAAAAUGAAAAUCCAAUUCUCAUUUAAAAAGAGACAAAACAAUUUUGUUCUCAACCUAAUUUGGGCCAUCAUGCAAUAACCACAACUUUUGGGCCAUAAAGCAAUUAACCUUAACUUUUGGGCUAUGUUGCAAAACUUUUGGGGUCACUUUGUAAAGACACAAAAGUCCACUACUUCAUGUAAUUACAAUAGAACCCAAAAUUUAAUCAAUGCAAAAACUUCAUUAAAGGAUCAAAACAAUUUGUCCUUUAGCGUUUUUGGACCUUAACGUAAAAACGUAAACUUUUGGGCCAAAGUGCAAAUACACAAAAGUAUCAAAACUUUAUGUAAUUGCAUAAAAGUCCCAAAAGUACUCCCACUUGAGGGAGGGCCGGUUUUGGAAGAAGAAAUGGAGUGAUGUGUGUGUGAUUUGUAGUUUGACAUAAAGCAUGCAAGUGCACAAGUGGUGUGUGUGAAAGGGUUUUAAUCCUUUCACACCCACCAUUAUUUCUAUUGCCAUUUAAACAAAUAUCUAAAACAUUUAAACAUUUGAAAAACAUAAAACAAAGACUUUAUGAAAUAAAUCAAAACUUUGAAUCAAAACACAAACCUUUUUGUUCUUGGCAAAAAUGUCAAGAACAAUGAAGAACAUUCAUGAAAAACCCAAAAUUUUUCCAUGAACUUUUUCCACCCAAAAACAUUCCAAAACCAUUCAAACUUUAGGGAAAUAACAUCUAACCAAACUAGGGUACAUAGGGGUUCCAAAAGUCACUUGAAAACACUUUUAACAAGUCAAACAAGAACCCAAAAAUCCACCCUUUGGAUUUGGCCGAAUUUUCCCAAAGUCAUGGCACCAAAUUUUAGCUCCAAUAUUCAUGCUCAUAUGAACUACAUCUACAACAUUUGAGAUGGCAAAUUUUCCAACAAAAUUUACAUUCAAAGAAACAAGAAUAAAGCUUGUAACAAUUACAACUUUUAAAUCACAAACUAUGAACCACAAAACCCAAAAGGAUUCACCAACUACUAGACCUAGGCUUUGAUACCACUUGAAGGAUUAUUAUGUGAAAACAUGUUCAUUUAAGCAACAUCAAUAAGCAUGCAAUUAACAAUUAAAGGCGGAAUCAUGCAAGCAUGCACUUAAAAACAAAACAUUAACCAAGAAAUUCAAAGCCUAGUAGAUUGGUGAACCAUUAAUCAACUCAAAACAAAGUGAGUUGAAAUUUAUACCUUUGAAGAUUCCUCUUUGCAUAAGCAAAGGCUAAUCACCCAAAGAGAGGGCCUUCAUUCCUUGCAUCUUAAAUCUAUGGAUUUGGAUGGAAGAAUAGGUUUCUCCUAGUUCCCAAAAUAGGGAACCUCUAAGUCUCUUCACCAAGGUUAGAUUGGAGAAGAUAUGAGUGACCUUGGAGUAGUAGGAUUACUAGAUGUACCCCCCAAGGUGGCCGGCCUCUUUAGAGAGAGAAAUGGAGAGACAUGUUCUCUCCAAUUUUCCCCAAAACAAACCCUAAUGAAUUUUAGGCUAUAAAGUCAUAUUUAUAUACCUUUAUUCAUUUGAGUGGCAAACUUGUAAUUAAGUCCAAGUUCACUACCCUUAGCAUCAUGGCCGGCCUUGGGGUAUUUUUGGGUUGUUUGGGCCUUUGUGAAUCAUUAUUCAUUAAGUUGUCAUACAACUUAAGUUAAUGGGCUUGACGUUCGAAGCCCAUUGGGCCUUAAGGUCCAAAAACUAUCCCGAGGUCUUUAACGAACUUAUUCGUUUGAUUAAUUAACAUAUUAAUUAAUCCUUGCCAUAAAUAAAUGAUUAAACCAUUUAAUCAUUCUUACUCAUCUCCGUUUAAUCUCCAAUCUCCACCUCUUAUGGUGUGCGAUCCAUUAGGUUCCUUUUAGCGAGGCAGUGGGCGAUUAAAACCAUUUUACAUCGAUUAUGAAUUGAAACUUACUUUCAAUUCUCCCUUUAGUGAUUACACACGUUUAGGGCUUCCACAAACCAUGAGUGGCACCUAGCAGCAUAUCAUGGUUACCCAAGCUAAUCAGAAGAGGUUAGAGAACCUAUUCAGUUUGGGAUUACAAAUGCAAUACGGUCUUUCUCUAAUCUAAUACUCUUGACCACAUUGUUUGGUUUGAUAGUUUAUAUGUUCAUGUCUACUAUCCAAUGUGAUUCGUGUGCUUAUAUGAUUUCCUUGAAUGUGAUUUAGAAUGACUUUUCUAAAUCUCAUUCAUACUCUGGCCAGAGAUUCUAAAUCAUAUCAUAGAGUAUUCUCCCUCAAACAGUUUGAAGGUUAGAGAUCCCUUGUUGCGCAUUCACUUGCCUCCAUGGCUAAGUGGCUUAACCCCAACGAUGCCGUGGACACCCUCCUGAUGGAGUGACUUUGACAUAAUCAAAGAUCAAGGACUUAACCACAAGACAACUAUGAUGCCUCAGGUCAAAGGACUACUUUGCAUUAUCCCAACCAUGAGUUCUCAUGUGACAUGAGUAUGAGAACUCUUCGUCGAUCACGUUCAGUGAACUCAUUCUCUAUUGAGCACCUACGUACUUGUCUUGAUGUCACACACACCAAUGACUCGAGACUAGUCACUCUCCUUGAGAGAAGACAUAGCACGUACCGAUCUUGAUGGACUGUCAAUGCCCAAUUGGCAAUCCUAUGAUCAGGAACAUUUAGGAUGUGUCUACGAAAGAAUGGUCUCAUGAAUCUAACUUCAUUAGAUUACAUUCUCCCAAUCACAUAUUCCUUGGACUUUAUCGUUUAAGCAUAUAACAUUUAUAUGAGACGGCUCAAACAAUAAUCUUUGCCCUUUAUAUUAAACUAGAUUAGUUUAACAUGUGAAAUGUACGUAAAGUAUCAUCAUAUGAUUGGCUUUAGGGCACAUUUCCAACAUGGGGUUCCCACACAGCUUGUUUGGUGAAUAAUUCCUUGUGAACUUAAGUAUUGAGUCAUGAUAUUGGAUAAGAACUCAGUGUCAUUGUCUGAUCUUAAGGUUUUAACAGUUGGGUGAAAUUGUGUUACAACCAACUUAUGAAAAUCUUUAAAAAUAGUUGGAACUUCACUUUUAGAUUUCAUGAGAUAAAGGAAAGUGAUUCAAGUGUAAUCAUCCACAAAUAUAACAAAAUACUUGUAACCCUCUAUUGAUUCAAAAGUAAGACCUCAUACAUUAGUGUGUACCAUUUCAAAUGGUGUACUAGACUUGGACAUUGAAGAACCAAAAGGUAGCCUAGCAGAUUUGGAAAAAUGGCAUGUAUCACACUUAAAAGAUGGGUGACAAAACAUGGGAAAUAGUUUUGACAAAACAACUUCGGAUGGAUGACCUAGUCUUUGAUACCAAAGUUGUUGAUCCUGGGGUUUACUUGAGUUUUCUUGAAGAGCUUUAGGAAGAUAGGACUUCUUGCAAAAAUAAUACAGGCCAUUUAGAAAGAAACCUUCACCAAUCAUCUUCUUAGUGAUACAUGAAGGAAAUUUUUUGUCCUAGCUAAGAACAUGUGAGAAUAUUUGAACACAUAUGCAAACUAUUAACACAUUAAAGUAGGCAUGCAUUCAAAAACAAUUCUAAAACCCAUGACUUUCAAAGCCUAGUGAAUGGUGAACCACAAGACUCUUUAACAACAUUAAAGAGAAAGAAGGUUUUAGAGAUUCAUUACCCUUGAAGCUCAUCCUUGUUUACACAAGGGAUUCACCCAAGUGGAGGGCCUUCAAGUCAUCUCCUAGCUCCUUGGAUCUUCCUUGUGAUUUUCUUCCUUUUGAUGCUCCUUUGCUCCUUGAGGAUGUGAGGAAAGGAUCUCCAAAAACACCAAAAAUUUGGUGUCUCUAAGUCUCCACACCAAGGAUGAGGUGUGAAGAUGAAAUGGAUGACUUAAAGAAGAAAAGAUUGUUAGCUAUAUCUUCUCCAAGUGGCCGGCCUCCUUUAGAGAAAAAGAGAGAAAAUGUUUCUCAUCUUUGCCUCAAGAAAACCCUAAUGAGGUAAAAGCUAUAAAGAUGUUUUUAUAUCUCUUUUCUUAGGUGAGUGGCAAACUUGCAAUUAAGCAAAACUUACCACUCCGUCACUAUGGCCGGCCUCUUUUAAGUAAUUGGGCUAUUUGCCCAUAUUUGUUUUAGUUGUCAUACAACUUAAACGUAAUGGGCCUAGUAGACCAAACCCUUUUGGACCCCGAAGUCCAAAACUAACUUAAAAGCCCAAUACGAACCUUUCGUAUAAUUAAACCAUUUAAACCAUUUAAUUGCUUAUCCAUUUCAUUUAUAUUUCUUCACUUUCAUCCUUACUCGAUGUACGAUCCAUUAGGUUCCAAUUAGCGAGGCAGUGGGCGUUUGUUACUCUUAACGAUCGAUUGUGAAUUGAAACUACAUUUCAAUUCUCCCUUUGAUUAAGAUUAGUGUUUGCUAAUCUUCAGGGCUUCCACAAAGCAUGAGUGACACCUAGCAGCAUGUCAUGGCUACCCAAGCUAAAUAGAAUUGGUUGGAGAACCUAUCCAGUUACAAUUACAAUGCAAUACGGUCAUUCUCUAAUACAAUACUCUUAAUCACAUUGUUUGAGUGAUAGUUUGUAUCAUGUCUACUAUCCAAUGUGAUACUUCUCUAUAUGAUUCAAUUGAAUAUGAUUUGGAACAUACUUCCUAAGUCAUAUUCGUAUGCUUUGGCCAAAGACUCCCGAAUCAUAUCUUAGAGUAUUCUCCUUCCACCAUGGAAGGUUAGAGAUUCCUUGUUGUGCAUUCAUAUGCCUACAUGACUAGAUAGCUUGACCCCAACAAUGCCGUGGACACUCUCGAUGGAAUGCCUUUGCAUGAUCAAAGAUCAAGGACCUAACCAUUAGACAUCUAUGAUGCCUCAGGUCAAAUGACUACUUUGCAUAUUGCGAUUUACGAGUUCUUACAUGACAUGUAUGUUCGAACUUUCUUUUGAUCGUUGUUCAGUGUACUUGAUUACUCUUUCAAGCACCUAUGUGUUUGUCUUAGUGUCCAACACUAAAUGACUUGAGACUAGUCAUACUCACGCUUGAGUUGACAUCACACAUACUAACCUUAGCGGAUUGUCAAUGCCCAAUUGGCAAUCCUAUGGCUAGGAACAUUUUUGCAAUGAACAUAAGAGAAAGGUCUCGUUAAUCUAACCUAUUUAAAUCACUUCUCUCUUAGAUCAAAUACAUUCCUUGGAUUCCCUUAUUGCUUAAACACAUGAUACAAUAAAUAAUGAUUAACAAUUUAAGCUUUGCCCUUCAUUAAACAUAUAAUAGUUUAAUACAAUAAGUAUUCCAAAAGCUAUUACAUCAAAUGAGUGGCUUUGUGGGCAUACUUCCAACAAUACAAUCGUAAAAUACCACAUUAGUUGGUGAGAAAGUGGCAGUGCAUUUUAAAGUAGAGGUGAGUUACCCUAUGGAGAGUAAUUUAAAGGGAAACGAUGGAACAUAUAGAGCACUAGACUCGAUGUUUUUUUACAUCAAAUUUAAUUUUCCUUUGCCCAUAACCGAAACAUUUUUUCCAUUUGCAAUGGACACUUGAGAAGGUUUUGAAAAAUGAUGAAAGUCAUGCAAGUUUGAAACUUUAUUUGUCAUGUGAUCAAUGGCACCUGAGUCGAUUAUCCAAUAAUCAAGUUCAACACUAGUUUGAAGUGCAGUGGAGAAAGCAUUGAAGAUACCUGAAGCUUUAUCAGGAUGAACAUGGUCAUGGUCAGCAAGGAACCCAGCAAAUUGGCCAAGAAGUGCAAUGUGGUUGUCACUGUCCACCUUAGGAGUUGGGUACAACCUCUCCAUGCCCUUUGCUUUGAAGAUAUGCUGCAAACUCGUUGAUAAGAGAUAAGGGGUUGGCAGUGAAGUCAACUGAGCUAUGGUUGAGCAAGCUCGAGGCAUGAUUUGCAACAUGUUAUGCUUUGUAGAAGAUUAUCUGUGAUGCUCUGGGAGUGAUUGACCUAAUAUUCUUAUAGAACUUAGGUUUCAACUCUGGAUGUAAUUCCUAGCACCUUUCUUCCACAUGUCCUGUAGCAUUGCAGUAUUUGCACUUUAAGUGUGGAUUCCUCCCCUUGUACACUUUGUUAUCAGUUUGCCUGUAGUUUGCAGCAUACCCUCGAGCCUCAGGUAAUUUGUGGCUUGACUCUUGGUUCAUCACCCUUCUUCUUGCUUCUUCACGUUGCACAAUAGCGCAAACAUUUUGAAAAAUGGCAGCUCUAUGCUCAUAAAAAUGUGACUUCUGAGAUCUUCAUACUCGGAGCUUAAGCUUCUUAGCAACUGAUAUAUCUUAUCUUCCUCAACAUGUUUGAGAAGAAUAGAUGGAUCAAUGGUAUGAGGAAGAUACAUAUCCAGCUCAUUCCACAUGGUUUUAAGGACACCAAGAUGUUAAACAAAGGUCAUUCAUUCUUGUUGAAUACAUGCAAUAUCUUUCUUCAAUUCGAACACACGAGCAUAAUUAUUCUGGUUCCCAUACAUGUCUUUCACAGACUUCCAUAGAUCUUGUGAGGAUUCAGCGUAGCUAAAGAUCUCAGCCACAUGCUUCUCCAUGUUGUUGAGUAACAAAGACAUGACCAGUUGGUUCUUGCAUAAGCAUGCUUUAUGUGCUUGAGUGAAAGGCUCAGAUGCUUCAACUCCUCCAUUGAUAAACCCUAGCUUUCCUCUUCUAUAGAGAGCAAAUGACAUUGCUCUAGACUAUGGGAGAUAGUUGAAUUUAUUCAACAAAGCUAAGCAUAAACACUGAUUUGUAUUUAUCUCAGUGUCUGGAACAAAAGCGGGAGAAACUUGUGAGUUUUCUCUUUCAAGAUUCACUGAGUUUUCUUCAGCCAUUACUGGAGCUUGAAGAUGAACAACAACGGAAAAAAAAAUUGGGCAGAGACAGGUCAAGGAUGACACUGCUCUGAUACCAUGUUGUAGUUUUGGUUUAAGUUUUCUUGUAUUUCUGAUAAUGUGAAUGUACAAGGAUACACAUAUAUAAAAGAAAAGAGAAUAAGAGAAGAGCUAGUUACAUCCAACGAUCCUUAGGCUAAACCCUAGAGACCAGAUAUACUCCUUAAUUGAAGGAGAUUACAGCAAACACUAGAUAUCAGCUAUACUCCUUAAUUGAAGGAAACCAACUACAAGACUAAGAAGAGAUUUACACAUAAUCUGUCAGGAAACACAAAAGGUGCUAUGCAGCCCAUGUUGUACCCAUGAUUUCUGGAAUUGCAUAAUCAGUCAAUACAUGUCUGCACAACCAUAUUUGUGGGCGAUCUUCAGGGGGAGAUAGAUUGGAACUCGUUGUUGUAGCUAAUGAUGUGGGUGACGACGAUGAGGCUGUUAGUGUAACUUUCGUUGACUUGGCUCAAUGUGGCUAUUGGGCAGCACUUAGCUUCACCACCAAAUUCCUAUCUUCAUCAAAAUCAUAAUCGGAACAGACAAUGAAAACUACGGCUUCGAAUUGACCGCGGAGGAUUCUGGUUUCAUGGGUGGUGGCUUCUUUUCGGCAACGAAUGUUGAAGACGAGGUCUUUGGAGAUAGAGCCUCUCUAGUUCGGAAUCUGACCAUAUAUGGCUUCCUUAUCUUCCCUCUUCUUCCUCCAACGAGACUUCCCCUUCUUCCAAUGAAGAAGUUGUCGGCGGUUUAUCCAGCGGAGAUAGGUGCUUAGGAGCUAUGGAAGAAGCUGUCGACGGAUCGUUUCCUUUGAAUUUUUUCUAAGUUUUUCAAAUUUGGUUUUCUUUGAAAUUUCUGGGUUUUUGAAUUGGGAAGGGAAGAAGAAGAUUUUUUUUUUGUUUAUAUUUUAAGUUUUUAAUUGAUGUGAAAAUUAACUUGACACACAAAUUAAACCCUAUGGAUGACAAUUAUAGUAUAUGAGCAAAUAGGGAUCGUUCUAAACCGGGGAUUAACUAGGGCUGCUAAUCUACUCAAAUUAAACUUUAAAACACUAAACUAGACUUAAAAACACAAGAAUAGACUCUAUAGACUCUAAUCUGACCUAAGACACUCAAAUCUGCAAAACUUAGUGAAAUUGACUCAAUUCUAAACCUAACAAGUGAUUUAGACAAAAUUAACUCUUACUUUGACUCAAAAGAUUAAAAGAGAAAACAGAUUGUAACUUAACUAACUCAGAAAACACUUAAAAGACUCAAAACAGCACACUACUAACAAUUAGACUCAAAACAGAUUCUAGAGAUGAAAUUGGACGAAUUUAAGACUAAACUAAGACUCAAACAAUGUUUAUGGACUAAACCUAACCUAUUUUGACUCAAAACACUCUAAAGAACCUAAUUAGGACAGAUUCUGACCUAAUAACAUAAAACAGAAAAGGGUGUUUGAUUUGUUGACGAAAUUGAAUUAAAACUAAACAAAUUGCAAAUCAAGCAAACUAAAACGAAAUUGAGAUGAAUUCAAGGGUGAAAAACUAGUUAGAGGAUCCUUAUCCACACAUGAACAUAUGCAUAUAAUUUGAUUCCCAGUUAUGACUUCAACAAACGAUGAAUGACAAUGCUCCAAGUUAAUUAGGUCCGCUUAAAUUAACUUUCCGAUUUCCUUAGAUUCAUUGGAUUGAAUGGAAUACGCAUUACAACCAAAUUAUUCCUCAUCAAAGUCCCUAACUAUGGAAUACGCAUGGUAGAGACAUUCAACAAAGAUCAUUAAGUUCAACGGAAAUCAUAAACAUCGACUAGGCAUUCAUAACUAUGGAAUACGCAUGUUAAUCCAGCCUAGGGUUUACUUAACACAAUCGUGACUAGCGACUUUUACUACUUAUGAAUAUAAGUUAAUAACGAUUAGGUGAAAUUCCCUUAUAUCCUAGCAUCAAGUUUAGGCAUGCAAAUUAAGUGUCGACGCUCAACCCACAUACAUAAGCAUGUUAUCAAUCAAAACAGAAAAGUAAAACACAUCUAAAGUUCAUGAAUUCAUAACUAAAGUAAAUCAAAUCAUCCAACAUAUGUCCAUGGCUUCAAAUUCGCCUCUAACUAAAAAGAAAUUAGUUCCACAUGUUUAACAUAAUUGAACAGCAAGUUAAAUUAAACAUGAAAACAGAAACAAGAGAAGAAAGAACUCCAAACACUCCACUAGUUGCAGAUUGCAUGUGCAAGGUCUCUUCCUUCCUUUGGUUUGCACGGCACUACUCUUCUCCUCCUUCAAUGGUGGCUGCACAAGGUGGUUAUGGUGAUGGAAAGGUGCGGCUAUGGUUGAAUUUUGGCAGAAAGUUGGGAGUUUGGGGGUGGAAGCUGCGGCAAGAAUUAGAACUAGGGUUUUUGGGCGUGUAGAAUGAAUAUGGGGGGUGGUCCUUUCGGCCAAAGGGUUUAAUGAGUAUAUACAGGCACUUAAAAACCCUAGCAAAUCAGAUUAGGGUUUCUAGAAACCCAAAUCCACCAGAAAAUAGGUUAAAACAAUCAGAAUUUUAGUGGGAAAAGGGCCUAGGGUGCGGCAGGUUUAAUGGGCUAGGGUUAGGGCUUCUAGAAUGCCUUGCAAGGCAAGGCAAAUAGGUGUUCUAGAAGGGAAAGGUGCGGCUGAUUAGUGGGAGUGUGGAUAGGGCUUCUAGAAAGCCCAAAACCAAGAGAAAAUAAGCCCUAACCCACGGCAAGGAUGAGAAAAUAUUCUAACACCUUUCUUUGUGUCUUCCAACGCUUCGGAACCUUCUAAUGUUGCUCAAACGCAAGGCCAUUUAGGUUUAGGAAAGAUCAACCCAAAAUGGAAACUUUUAGGCUUAGCUUUCCUACUUCAAGUAGGAAACCUCGUUUGAGUAGGAAUCUUCCUUUUCUCGGAAUCCAUCUUCAACUAGGAAUCCCUCGUUGAUUAGGAAUCCUUCUUCAGUUAGGACUCCUCCUCGGACUAGGAAUCCUUCUUGUACUAGGAAUCCUUAAAUCUUCAAAUCUUCAAUUUCAUCCCAACCUUGUGUUCCAAGCAUGUACUUUUCAAUCCAAGCUCACUUUUUGUUCCAAAAAGCUCCAAAUUGCAUCAUUUCAUGUAAUAUGUCCUUUAAACCUGAAAACACAUGAAAUUAGCUUAAAAGACUACUUUAACGAAGAAAACAUAACGAAAAUGCAUAAGAACUAGCUAACUAAGGCGCAUAAAUAUGCUCCUAUCAAAUUCCCCCACACUUAGCUUUUGCUAGUCCUCGAGCAACACAAAGAAACAAAAGAAAAACAAAACGAAACAAAACAAACAAAACACAGCCUAAACCCUCCAACAUUUGCCUCAGGGAUCUCCAAUGCACAUUACAUGUUAAGAAUCGUCAUUCCCACAGAUUUUAGUCAUCUUUACACUUAAGCACACACUUAAGCAUAGUCACCACGUACUAGUUCACCUUUAACCAAUUAAAACAUGAUUUUGAACGUAGUAACAUGCCUUAGAGAAUUUGCUCAAUUCCUUACUAGAUAUGCACUCAAUUUUCACACAGAUUUUCUGACUACACACCCUAUACUAGUCAUAUGUGAGAAGAUUGAUGUAGAUAUGAACACGAACGCUCACAUAUGUUAUAACAAGGAAAGCUUUUUCUGAAUUUAAUAAGCAUGUAUAUGAUCUCAUGAAAGGAAUGCUACUACUUAGACGCGAGAACCAGUGACACCAUAUGCUCAUACCAAUCCCAAACUCCACAAAUUGAAAUACACAACACUCAAGAUAGAAGUUAAGGGUUGUAACGGGGCUUGGGGUAUUGGCUAACAAAGAAAGGUGAAGGAUAAACAAACGUUCUUAAAACAAUAGUAAGCAAAGCAAUGAAAUUGACACUUAGAAUUCACUUUUGAAUGCAAAAAUCAACUUUUAAACUCAAAGGGGAAAUUCAUGCAACACUUAGGGUCAAAUUCAAUGUUUUGGACCCUUUCUUCAACAACCAACACCUUAGAGCUCAUUUUCAUGCUCUUUCAACUCUUUUCCACACUUUUCACAACAUUUUUCUUUUUUUCUUCUUUUUUCUACGGAUUUUUUUUUCCUUUUCUUUUUCUUUUCUACCCCAUGCCUCAUUUAAGACUUUGGCACACAAUACACAAGGCUCACUUCCCCCCACACUUGUUUUCUGCACACCCUCGAUCAAAAGGAAUUCAUUUUAAGUCAUGCUUACUAUGCUUCAAGAACAAGGGUAUGGAUGGUCCUAAUCUAGGCUAGGUAAGGAUAAUGUGGGUUAACAAACAAUAUAGGCUAAAUAAGGCUCAACGGGGUUAAACCUACAAAAACAAAUGUAUGGAAUGAAGGCUUUUUGGAUAUGGUGGCAACUACUAAACAACUUCUUCUUGAAUAUGUGUUAUGCAAUUCAAUAACAUGUUUUGAAUGAAAUUGGCAUGAGUUCUAGCAUUUGGAACUAAAGUGAUAAAACGCAUUCUAAGUAGCAACCAAGCAAAGAAUAAUGAGAUCAUGCAACGACUUUAGAAAACAAGAAUGCACAGAUUAAUAACUCUCCAAAUAAAGUUUAGGCUCAAGUCUCUCAGGGAUGUAGCGUUAGUUUGAGUUUCUUCCUUCAAGCAUGUUACAAAAACUGAUUUUUUUUUCUUUUGAUUACAUGUGAAUUCAUAAGUUAUAACCACAACCAAGCAUAAACCAAAGAGUAAAUCAAACUUUCAUCCAUGUUUAUAACUUUCUUUAACAGUCAUGCAAUUAAAAACCGAAUCCUCAUCAUUGUGUUGGAAGGUACCCUAAGACACAAACAAACACACAAAAACAACUUAAAAACGACUCUUUUUGGGUUUUUUUAAAACAAUUUUUCAAAUUUUUUAUGGAAUUUUCGGAUUUUUGAAUCAAAACACAUUAAAACACACCAAAACAGCCUAAAAACAUCUAAAAACAGCAAGAAACAACAUUGGAAGUUAUGAGUGAGAAAACCCUACGAAUUUGCAUCAAAACACUUUGGUUACCCCCCCACACUUAAAUCAAACAUUGUCCUCAAUGUUUCAAGCAUAAACUAACACAAAUAACAAACGACACACAAACAGCAACUAACACACUAAACAUGGCAGAAACGAAAUAAUCAACAAAGAGAAGGGUUUAGGAACGCAAAUCUGGAAUUCGAGUGCUCUCUAGGUCUUCCUUUGUCGAAUGCAUGGGUUGCCUCCCACGAAGCGCUUGCUUUAACGUCUUCCAGCCGGACGGUACCUCCGUUUAAGCUUGACUAGGUUGCACGGCAUGGAGGGGUAUCUCCUCCACGACAUGCUCCUUAAACGUCUCAUAAUAGGGCUUCAAUCGAUGCCCAUUCACUUUGAAUUCUUGCUGCGUCCUUGAACUUUUGAUUUGCACUGCACCAUGAGGGAAAACAUUAGUGACAAUAAAAAGACCAACCCAUUUGGAACGUAACUUACCCGGAAACAACCGAAGGCGAGAAUUGAACAACAACACUUUCUGCCCAAUAGAGAACGUCUUGGCACGAAUCAUCUUGUCAUGGAAUGCCUUCGUUUUCUCCUUGUAAAUCCGGGCAUUCUCAUAUGCUUCAUUUCGGAUUUCAUCAAGCUCACACAAUUGAAGCUUCCUAUGUAGACCUGCGGCAUCAAGGUCCAUAUUGAACGUUUUGACGGCCCAAUGUGCACGAUGCUCUAACUCGACGGGAAGAUGGCAUGGCUUCCCAUAGAUGAGCCGAAAAGGUGACAUCCCAAUGGGGAUUUUGUAGGCAGUGCGAUACGCCCACAAUGCAUCGUUUAAGCGCAAACUCCAAUCCUUCCUUGUAGGCCCCACGGUCUUCUCAAGAAUCUGCUUGAUUUCCCUAUUCGAAACCUCGGCUUGCCCGCUCGUUUGAGGAUGAUAAGGUGUGGCCACCUUAUGCGUGACAUUGUAUUUCUUGAGCAACGCCUCGAUGGUUCGAUUACAAAAAUGGGAACCUCCAUCACUGAUUAGCACUCGUGGCAUUCCAAACCUUGCAAAAAUGUUAGUUUUCACAAAAUCUGCAACCACUCGAGAAUCAUUAGUUCAGGUGGCUUUUGCUUCCACCCAUUUCGACACAUAGUCCACAGCAAGCAAUAUAUAAAGAAACCCAUGUGACGAAGGAAAGGGACCCAUAAAAUCAAUACCCCAAACAUCAAAGAUUUCAACACUAAAAAUGGGGGUUUGCGGCAUUUGUUGUUUAGGACCAAUAGUGCCCGUUCUUUGGCAUCUAUCACAAGACAUGCAAAAUGUUCUAGCAUCCCUAAAGAUGGUAGGCCAAUAGAAACCACAUUCUAACACCUUAAGUGCUGUUCUUUGAAUGCCAAAGUGUCCCCCACAAGCAUAAGUGUGACAAAAGGUUAGAAUAGCAUUAAACUCAGAAUCGUGCACACACCUACGUAUAACUUGGUCAGGGUAAUAUUUCCAUAAAUACGGGUCAUCCCACACAUAAAACCGUGCCUCUUUCUUUAAUUUAUCACAUUGGUGUUUAAGUAAUUCACAAGGAACAUGUUUAGACACCAAAUAAUUCACCAAAUCAGCAUACCACAGUUCACUUACCUUGACAGACAUCAGUUGCUCAUUUGGGAAUGUCUCUAUGAUAGGCACGGCAUCCUCCUCAUGCACCAUACGGCUCAAGUGGUCAGCCACCACGUUUUCACUUCCCUUCUUGUCCCGGAUUUCGAUAUCGAACUCUUGGAGAAGAAGCAUCCAAGGAAUGAGUCGUGGUUUGGCCUCCUUCUUGGUGAAUAAAUACUUCAAUGCUGCAUGGUUCGUAUAAAUAACUUUAGUACCAAGCAAAUAAGAACGGAAUUUAUCUAAAGCAAAUACAACAGCAAGAAGUUCUUUUUCAGUGGUAGAAUAAUUCAAUUGUGCAUCAUUUAAAGUCCGAGAGGCAUAAUAGAUAACAUGCGGCCUCUUUUCCUUCCUUUGCCCCAAAACAGCUCCUAAUGCAUAAUCGGAAGCAUCGCACAUAAGCUCAAAAGGAAGGCUCCAAUCCGGUGGAACUAUGAUAGGGGCCGAAGUUAGCAUUUCUUUGAGGUGAUUGAACGCUUUCUCACACUCCUCGUUGAAGUCAAACGCCACAUCUUUCUGGAGGAGACGGCAAAGAGGGUUUGAGAUCUUGGAGAAGUCCUUGAUAAAUCGCCUAUAAAACCCUGCAUGACCAAGAAACGAACGAACCUCUCGAACCGAAGUAGGAGAGGGUAAGUAGCGUAUAAGAUCUAUUUUCGAUUUAUCCACUUCAAUUCCUCUUUCUGAAACAAUAUGCCCUAGAACUAUGCCUUGUCUAACCAUAAAGUGACAUUUUUCCCAAUUAAGCACAAGGUUAGUUUCUACACAUCGUUUCAAAAUUAUUGUGAGAUUUUCCAAACAACCAUCAAAUGAAUCACCAAACACACUGAAAUCAUCCAUAAAUACCUCAAUAAUCUUUUCCACAAAAUCUAAAAAGAUACUUACCAUACACCUUUGAAAUGUGGCCGGAGCAUUGCAUAAACCAAAAGGCAUGCGACGAUAAGCAAAAGUACCAAAGGGGCAUGUGAAAGUUGUCUUUUCUUGGUCAUCCAGUGCUAUGACAAUCUGAUUAUAUCCAGAAUAACCAUCAAGGAAACAAUAAAAACAAUGACCGGCUAACCUUUCAAGCAUUUGAUCAAUGAACGGCAAAGGGAAGUGGUCAUUCCUUGUGGUGGCGUUGAGCUUCCUAUAAUCAAUGCACACGCGCCAACCUGUUUGGAUACGGGUUGGCACAAGCUCAUUCUCGGCAUUCUUCACCACUGUCACUCCAGACUUCUUUGGAACACAUUGCACCGGUGACACCCAACGACUAUCAGAGAUUGGAUAAAUCACUCCACAAUCAAGAAGUUUGAUAAUCUCCUUUUUCACAACUUCCAUCAUUGGAGGGUUGAGACGGCACUGAGCCUCUCGAGUUGGUUUAGCCCCCUCCUCUAGAAGUAUGUGAUGCAUGCACGUAGUCGGGCUAAUUCCCCUAAUAUCGGCCAAAGUCCACCCAAUGGCCGUCUUGUGCUCUUUCAACACUCGGAUCAACUUCUCCUCCUCUAAGGCCGUGAGUGAUGAGGAGACAAUAACGGGCAAUGUCUCGUUGUCUCCCAGAAAGACGUACUUUAAAUGAUCGGGCAAUGGUUUAAGCUUAAGUACGGGUGCCUGAAUCACUGAGGGUAACAACUUAUUAGUGGAAACUGAAAUUGAAAUUGGGUUAGAAGGCUUACCAUGGUGUUGAGGUAGUGACUCAAGGGCAGCCACUAUCUCGGCCUCCUCCACACUUCUAGGCACGGCAAAACCAUAUUUUUGCCCAAUUCCUUGUGCAAUUGUCAUUUCAAGGGUAUCACUCUCCAAACAGUCGAGAAAAUCCUGCGCCAAAUCAUCAAUUAUAUCAAUAGAAAAGCAAGAAUGAUCGUCCUUAGGGAAUUUAAUACUUUCAGAAAGAUUGAAAUCAAUGACUUCCCCAUCAAAUUCCAUCGUUAAAGUUCCUUUAAACACAUCUAUCUUGGUGCGGGCUGUUUUCAUGAAGGGCCUCCCUAAUAGAAUCGGCAAUGGGGUGGAAUGGGGUGAAUCCUCCAUGUCAAGUACGUAGAAAUCCGCUGGAAAAUCAAGUUACCAACCUGCACCAAAACAUCUUCCAAAACACCCUUUGGAUAUGCAUUAGAACGAUCGGCUAAUUGAAUUAUAACACCAUCAUUUUUAAGCUCACCUAAGUUCAUAGAUGCAUAAAUAGAGUAUGGCAUAACAUUAAUCGAAGCCCCUAAGUCUAACAUGCAUUGUUCAAACUUAGUAUUACCAAUAACGCACAGAAUUGUAAAACUACCCGGAUCUUUGCAUUUAGGGGGUAAUUUCCUUUGUAACACAGCAGAGACAUUUUCACUUACUUGAACCACCUCUUUGUUCGAAAUCCUUCUCCUUGUUGUACAAAGUUCUUUUAAAAACUUAGCAUACCUCGGGACUUGCUUAAUCGCAUCAAGGAGCGGGAUAUUGACUUGAACUUUCCAAAAGGUCUCUAGAAUGUCCUUCUCAGCUUCUUCCUUCUUUGAUUGCCUAAACCUGCCAGGAAAGGGGCACAUUUAGUGGAAUAGAACUAGAAAAAGUUGAAUUGGGACUUACCUUGGUGGUUUGGGACGGUUUAGGAGGACUAGAUGAAUUCGGCAAGGUUUGGUCAUCCUUGGCCGUGGGCUUUGCUCCCUGUGCUUCUUCUUGCAGCAACUUGUCCUCCUCGUCUUGACUUGAUUUGGAUGUAUUUGAGUCCGUUCCAACCUGUUUACCACUUCUCAACAUGAUGGCCUUAGCGGUUUCAAAUCCUCCCUUCGGGUUCACAACGGUUGAACUAGGCAAUCUGCCUUGUUCUCUAAUUUGCCCCAUAAACUCGGCAAUUUGACCCAUUUGCUUCCCCAAAUUAUCCACCCGUUUGUCUUGGAUUUGUCUCUCCUUAUUUUGAGUUUGUACUUCCUGCGUCAAAGUAGUAAGUAACUUAACAACUUGAUCAUUAUCCAAAGACGUACCUGAGGUUGUUGGGGCAGAUUGCACUUGGUUUUGAUUGGGGACGAAUGGCUUUGUAUAAAAGCCCGGUGGUUGCUGCCUAAAUCCUCCUUGUUGUUGGGGUUGUUGAGGAUCCCGCCAUUUGAAAUUUGGAUGGUCCCUCCACCCCGGAUUGUAGGUAUUAGAGUAUGGAUCAUGGCGUGGUUGAUUUUGGUUCCCAAAACCCACGGCAUUGGCAGAUUCCCAACCUCUAUUCUCAAUCAAUUGAGGGCAUUGAUCGUUGGCAUGUCCUUGCAUAGAGCACACGCCACACACACUUGGUCCAUGAAUCUUCAUUCCCUCGACCAACUGAGAAACAAUAGAAGUAAGGUUAGCUAAUUGGGAUUGAAUUUCGGGCAUAGAACUUACCUCAUUCACUUGUGGCCGUGGGGGGUCUCUUUGUCCAACACCUUCGUAUUGUUGUGCAUUAUGUGCUCGGUUGGCAAUUAGAACUUUUGCAGCCCCCGGAGUUUUAUCCACCAACGCACCUCCCGCCGAGGCAUUAAGCAUUUGGCGUUCCAUGGGAAGGAGUUCUUCGUAGAAGUAUUGAAUGAGCAGCUCCUCCUUCAUUUGAUGCUGUGGACAAGAAGCAACAAGUGAUUUAAAACGUUCAUAAUAAGAAGGAAACGAUUCACCUUGAUUUUGUUGGAUGCCACUAAUCCGUUUCCUCAAGAGAAUGACUCUUGAAGUUGGGAAAAACUUCUCCAAGAAAGCUCUUUUCAUACUAUCCCAAGAUGUAACCGUUCCGGGUGCUAACUCGUAAAGCCAAUCCUUCGCCUUUUCCAAAAGUGAGAAUGGAAAAGCCUUCAUCAUCAGAAUGUUCCCGUCGACAUUUAUGGGUGUCAUGCUCGAACAAACAACCUCGAACUCCUUGAGAUGCUUGUUGGGAUCUUCCAUGGAAAGCCCAUGGUAUUUCGGAAAGUGGUGCAACAAGCUUGACUUCAACUCGAAUUCAUCGGUCUUGCCUUGGGCAGCCGCGGGGUAUUGAAUGCAUAAUGGUGCGGCAUUGGUCAAUCCCGAGGCCAAAAGCUCUUUAAUGGUCCGAUUGUCCGCUGCCAUAACUUCUUCUUCUACUUCUUCAAACUCAGAUUCGGCCUCUGAACUUGAACUAGGUUCACUAGGUUCGGGAUGCCUCCUCUGUCUUCUCAAAUCACGUUCAAAAUCGUCGUUAAAGUCCAAGAUAUGUGCAUGCACAGUUUGAGAACUCCGCGUCAUGCACUAGUACCUAAACCAAGAAAACAAAACAAAAUAAGAAAACUAGGUAAAUUAUACUAAAAACACACGGCAAAAACACAAGGGAUUAGCAAUUUUGCUAAUCCCCAGCAACGGCGCCAAAAUUUAAUGUGAAAAUUAACUUGACACACAAAUUAAACCCUAUGGAUGACAAUUGUAGUAUAUGAGCAAAUAGGGAUCGUUCUAAACCGGGGAUUAACUAGGGUUGCUAAUCUACUCAAAUUAAACUUUAAAACACUAAACUAGACUUAAAAACACAAGAAUAGACUCUAUAGACUCUAAUCUGACCUAAGACACUCAAAUCUGCAAAACUUAGUGAAAUUGACUCAAUUCUAAACCUAACAAGUGAUUUAGACAAAAUUAACUCUUACUUUGACUCAAAAGAUUAAAAGAAACAGAUUGUAACUUAACUAACUCAGAAAACACUUAAAAGACUCAAAACAGAUUCUAGAGAUGAAAUUGGACGAAUUUAAGACUAAACUAAGACUCAAACAAUGUUUAUGGACUAAACCUAACCUAUUUUGACUCAAAACACUCUAAAGAACCUAAUUAGGACAGAUUCUGACCUAAUAACAUAAAACAGAAAAGGGUGUUUGAUUUGUUGACGAAAUUGAAUUAAAACUAAACAAAUUGCAAAUCAAGCAAACUAAAACGAAAUUGAGAUGAAUUCAAGGGUGAAAAGCUAGUUAGAGGAUCCUUAUCCACACAUGAACAUAUGCAUAUAAUUUGAUUCCCAGUUAUGACUUCAACAAACGAUGAAUGACAAUGCUCCAAGUUAAUUAGGUCCGCUUAAAUUAACUUUCUGAUUUCCCUAGAUUCAUUGGAUUGAAUGGAAUACGCAUUACAACCAAAUUAUUCCUCAUCAAAGUCCCUAACUAUGGAAUACGCAUGGUAGAGACAUUCAACAAAUCAUUAAGUUCAACGGAAAUCAUAAACAUCGACUAGGCAUUCAUAACUAUGGAAUACGCAUGUUAAUCCAGCCUAGGGUUUACUUAACACAAUCGUGACUAGCGACUUUUACUACUUAUGAAUAUAAGUUAAUAACGAUUAGGUGAAAUUCCCUUAUAUCCUAGCAUCAAGUUUAGGCAUGCAAAUUAAGUGUCGACCCUCAACCCACAUACAUAAGCAUGUUAUCAAUCAAAACAGAAAAGUAAAACACAUCUAAAGUUCAUGAAUUCAUAACUAAAGUAAAUCAAAUCAUAACCAACAUAUGUCCAUGGCUUCAAAUUCGCCUCUAACUAAAAAGAAAUUAGUUCCACAUGUUUAACAUAAUUGAACAGCAAGUUAAAUUAAACAUGAAAACAGAAACAAGAGAAGAAAGAACUCCAAACACUCCACUAGUUGCAGAUUGCAUGUGCAAGGUCUCUUCCUUCCUUUGGUUUGCACGGCACUACUCCUCUCCUCCUUCAAUGGUGGCUGCACAAGGUGGUUAUGGUGAUGGAAAGGUGCGGCUAUGGUUGAAUUUUGGCAGAAAGUUGGGAGUUUGGGGGUGGAAGCUGCGGCAAGAAUUAGAACUAGGGUUUUUGGGCGUGUAGAAUGAAUAUGGAGGGUGGUCCUUUCGGCCAAAGGGUUUAAUGAGUAUAUACAGGCACUUAAAAACCCUAGCAAAUCAGAUUAGGGUUUCUAGAAACCCAAAUCCACCAGAAAAUAGGUUAAAACAAUCAGAAUUUUAGUGGGAAAAGGGCCUAGGGUGCGGCAGGUUUUAAUGGGCUAGGGUUAGGGCUUCUAGAAUGCCUUGCAAGGCAAGGCAAAUAGGUGUUCUAGAAGGGAAAGGUGCGGCUGAUUAGUGGGAGUGUGGAUAGGGCUUCUAGAAAGCCCAAAACCAAGAGAAAAUAAGCCCUAACCCACGGCAAGGAUGAGAAAAUAUUCUAACACCUUUCUUUGUGUCUUCCAACGCUUCGGAACCUUCUAAUGUUGCUCAAACGCAAGGCCAUUUAGGUUUAGGAAAGAUCAACCCAAAAUGGAAACUUUUAGGCUUAGCUUUCCUACUUCAAGUAGGAAACCUCGUUUGAGUAGGAAUCUUCCUCUUCUCGGAAUCCAUCUUCAACUAGGAAUCCCUCGUUGAUUAGGAAUCCUUCUUCAGUUAGGACUCCUCCUCGGACUAGGAAUCCUUCUUGUACUAGGAAUCCUUAAAUCUUCAAAUCUUCAAUUUCAUCCCAACCUUGUGUUCCAAGCAUGUACUUUUCAAUCCAAGCUCACUUUUUGCUCCAAAAAGCUCCAAAUUGCAUCAUUUCAUGUAAUAUGUCCUUUAAACCUGAAAACACAUGAAAGUAGCUUAAAAGACUACUUUAACGAAGAAAACAUAACGAAAAUGCAUAAGAACUAGCUAACUAAGGCGCAUAAAUAUGCUCCUAUCAUUAAUUAACAAAAAAAAUUGUUUUUUUCAUUAUUUAAAUCUUUUUAUUCACAUGUCAAUAUUUAAUUAGAAUUUGGGACCCAGUUAUAUGAUACAUUAGCAUAUAACAAUUUUUUUUACAGAAUCGUGACAGAAGAACCACAUUGAUUUGCAACACUUAUUUUUUAAAGACUACAUAAAUCAAUCUUCAAUUCCAAUGAUCAUCUUGAUGAGGUGGUUCGAUUUUAAGGACUAUUUGUGACAAAAACCAUAUAAUAAUAAGACACACCUCUGCCAUCUUCUCAAUAUCAAAAUGUUUAAUAGACAAAAAUGCAGGGUAUUGAAAGUCUUUAUGCAAAUUUGAACAUAAUUUCAUUAUAUGUCUCAACAUAUCCUCUAAAUGAACCUAAGAUGAACAACCAAUUGCAUGCAGUUCCAAACACCACCAAUGCCAUUUCAAGGGAAUAAUGACAUUUUCGGUGAUGAGCAACCAACUGAAGUUCCUCAAGACAAUGCCCAAUUUAGUGAAACUCUAUUAGAUGCGAGUUUUGAGUUCACUGUUGACUAUCAUGACAAUGCUCAUUCAGAUAAUGUGCAGUGUAAUGAUGCCAAUUUUAAUCUAUCGUCAUUUCGUCGUAAUAAGUAUAAUAAUAUUGCAUAUUGAAUAUAGAUGGAGAUGUUGUGGUCGGAUAGUUGUACUCAAGUAAGAAAGAGUUUAUAUGAUAUUGAACUCUCUUGCAGAUUUUAAGGGUAUAUUAGUACUUCUCGUUGGGCACGUCGUAUAAAGGAUAAGAUAGUAUUAAUAAUACGGGGUAAAUUGCGGUUUGACCCCCUAAACUAUUACCCCAGUUGACAUUGACCCCUUAAACUAUUGUUUUGGUAAAUUAACCCCCUGAACUAUUCAAAAUCAGUUCAUUAACCUGUCACGCCCCAAACCCGGGGUCGGUAAUAAAAACUCAAACCCCAAUCUGAAACGUGAGUUAUAAGCUCAAUAAAUAAAAGGAAAUUGACAUGGGUUGAAAAAAUGAACUUCUCUUAUUAAAAUAAUUCAUGAUUCUUAAACAAUCUUUACAACCUACAGUAAAUAAAUGAAUAAACUUGCUCUACUAUCAUCUAAUCCAGAUCUCAUCCUACCUACCCUCUUGAAUGUCCAGUUCGUAAACCUACAUAACAAUAGAGGGAUGAGCUUUAACAGCUCAGUAGGGACAUGACCUUAUCACAGUAAAUUGACAAUAUUAAAUUAAGUGUCAUGAAAUCAUAUAGCCAAAUAUCAAAUCAUUAUUGAUAAUAAUGCAUGAAUGCAAUGCAACUUCUUCAACUACCACCGUUAAUUUAUAUAAUAAAACAUGCGGACAUACAGGUUCCAUACUAUGCAUUUUACCCUUGCAGAGGUGGGUUAAAUGUUUUAUUAUAGAAACUAACCCCCAUAUGAUAUCCCAAGUUCAUAAACCCUUUUUGCUAGUCAUCUUAUAUAAUUCAUUGAUCUCCAGCCCAAAUCACCCACAUCGACAAUUCCCGUCGAUAUCAUAUUCUAAUGUGCACAUUGGGCUCGCCUGGAACUGGUUUCACAAUGAAUAGAUUCAACAACACAAAAGAUCAUUUCCAACUACCCUUAUUUCCAUACUUCCAAUCUAAAUACUGAAAUUCCAACCACAUCAACAUGAAUGAUGCACAAAUAACGUCAUUUUAUCUUUCACAUGUAUCACAGUACAUUCUCAACGCAUAACAUUCCAGCAUUAAUUUCAUAACCAAGAACAAGUAAACACUUAAUUGAAGCAAUUAGGCAAUUAUUAUCCAAUCACAUUAAUCAACCAAAAAGAUCAAGAAUAUUAUAGCACUUUAAGAAAUUUAAUAAAAUCAAUUUAUGUAAAGGUCUGCCUUAUUUCCCCUACAUGGAUUCUAAAGCUAAAACAAAGAUCCACGUCACUACCUGAAUAGCUAAGCUUCACAUACUUAUCCACGUCACUACCAAAAUAGUUAAGUUCCACGUACUUGAGGAAGCUCCAUGAUCGCUCCUAACACCAUAUAUUUCUUCUACUUUUAUUUUCUAAUCUCUCUCUAUAUGUAUGUGAAGGAUUAUUUUGUGAAAACAUGUUCAUUUGAAUAACAUCUAUAGCAUGCAUUUAACAAUUAAAAGGCGGAAUCAUGCUUGCAUGCAUUCAAAAACAAAACAUUACUCAUGAAAUUCAAAGCCUAGUAGAUUGGUGAACCAAGACUCAACUCAAAUCAAAGUGAGUUGAGAAAUAUAUACCUUUGUAGAUUCCUCUUUGCAUAAGCAAAGGCUAAUCACCCAAAGAGAGGGCCUUCAUUCCUUGCUUCUUAGAUCCAUGGAUUUGGAUGGAAGAAUAUGGUUCUCCAAGUUCUCAAAAUAGAGAACCUCUAAGUCUCCACACCAAGGUAAGAUUGAUGAAGAAAUGAGUGACCUUGGAGUAGUAGGAUUGCUAGCUACACCCUCCAAGGGGGCCGGCCUCCUAGAGAGAAAAGGAGAGACAUGUUCUCUCCAAUUUUCUUCAAAAGAACCCUUAAUGAAUUUUAGGCUAUAAAGUUCAUUAUAUAGUCACUUCUUUAAAUGACCUAAAGAACCAAAAACCCUAAUUCAACACACAUGGCCGGCCACAUGAGGGAUUUGGGCUUUUGGGCCUUUGUGAAUCUUUAUUCAUUAAAUUGUCAUACAACUUAAGUCAAUGGGCUUGAUGUUCGAAGCCCAUUGGGCCUUAAGGUCCAAAACUAUCCCAAGGUCUUUAACGAACUUAUUCGUUUGAUUAAUUAACAUAUUAAUUAAUCCUUGCCAUAAAUAAUUAAACCAUUUAAUUAUUCUUACUCAUCUCCAUUGUUUCUUCAAUCUCCACCUUACACGGUGUACGAUCCAUUAGGUUCCUUUUAGCGAGGCAGUGGGCGAUUAAAACUCUUUCAAAUCGAUUGUGAAUUGAAACUUACUUUCAAUUCUCCCUUUAGUGAUUAUACACGUUUAGGGCUUCCACAAACCAAGAGUGACACCUAGCAGCAUAUCAUGGUUACCCAAGCUAAUCAGAAGAGGUAGAGAACCUAUUCAGUUUAGGAUUACAAAUGCAAUACGGUCUUUCUCUAAUACAAUACUCUUGACCACAUUGUUUGGUUUGAUAGUUUAUUCAUGUCUACUAUCCAAUGUAAUUCGUGUGCUUAUAUGAUUACCUUGAAUGUGAUUUGGAACGACUUUCCUAAAUCUCAUUCAUACUCUGGCCAGAGAUUCUUAAUCAUAUCAUAGAGUAUUCUCCCCCAAACGGUUUGAAGGUUAGAGAUCCCUUGUUGCGCAUUCACUUGCCUCCAUAGCUAAGUGGCUUAACCCCAACUAUGCCGUGGACACCCUCAUGAUGGAGUGACUUUGACAUAAUCAAAGAUCAAGGACUUAACCACAAGACAACUAUGAUGCCUCAGGUCAAAGGACUACUUUGUAUUAUCCCAACCAUGAGUUCUCAUGUGACAUGAAUAUGAGAACUCUUUGUUGAUCGUGUUCAGUGAACUUAUUCUCUAUUGAGCACCUACGUAUUUGUCUUGAUGUCACACACACCAAUGACUCGAGACUAGUCACUCUCCCUAAGAGAAUACACAACACGUACUGAUCUUAACGGACUGUCAAUGCCCAAUUGGCAAUCCUAUGAUCAGGAACGUUUAGGAUGUGUCUACGAAAGAAUGGUCUCAUGAAUCUAACUUCUUUAGAUUGCAUUCUCCCAAUCACAUAUUCCUUGGACUUAUCGUUUAAGCUUAUAACAUUUAUAUGAGACGGCUCAAACAAUAAUCUUUGCCCUUGAUAUGAAACUAGAUUAGUUUAACAUGUGAAAUGUCCGUAAGGUAUCAUCAUAUGAUUGGUUUUAGGGCACAUUUCCAACAAUCUCCCACUUGCACUAGAGCCAAUCAGCUUGGUCAUCAGUGAUGAUACCUCUUCUGUAGUCAUUUCAUAAAUGGCUGAAUAGUAGGCCUAGACAAUGGAUAUCUAUAUGUUAUCCAUAGAAGCAACCUUGAGAAUAACGACGUCACCAUUAUACAUGAUUCUCAAUCAUGUGGUUCAGUCUCUCAUAUGAGUUCGGACCUUGAUGAGACCUUGAUUCCCUGGCUUGAGCUAUCGCCCCAUUAGUGUCAUAGUGUCAGUACACUAGAUACACUUUCUGGUUGGAACAGAAUAGAAAGUUCAUAAAUGAACUUUCCCAUCCAAACAACAUUGUUGUAAGCUUCUAUAUGGCAAUAUAUUUUGCAUUCAUAAUGGAACACACUAAAGUCAUUACUUUUAAUGUUUCCAUCCAAAUAUCUCUUUAGUCAUAAUAAAGAGAUAUCUGAUUAUCUCUUCAUUCAUAAUGAAGAAACAUCCAAUGAUGGAUUAGAUUCAUAAUCUAAUACAUUUACGCUUCCUUUAAGUUACUCUAAUUCUUCCUCAUUCUUUGAGGAAUCUGUCCUUUAGUAUUUCUUAAAUACUUAAGGACUCACUUGACAGUUGCCAUGGUUCUGAUCCUGGGCUUGCACUGAUAUCGUCUUGUACCGUUCUAGGUACAACUCAUAUCAAUGUUUUUCAUACAGUAUGAAAUACAUAAAUCACCUUUAUGCGUAUGCAUAAAGGAUUCUAUUUACGCAUUAUUUCUUUGGGAGUCAAAGAGUACGUUCUCUUUGAGAAGAGCAACUUCUUAGUCUCACUAGACCUGUCCUUCUAAUUGAAGUUUAUCAUCAUAUGAGAAACUUCCUAGCAUCUAUUGUCUAUUAUUAGGGAUUGAUAUAAUCCAAUUAUAUCAUGAAAUAUAUCAUUAUAGAUUUCCAUCCCAUGUAUAUAGACUAUAUCUCCCAUAUACAUUCUAUCUUCAUAUAAUGUUUCAAAGUCAUAACUUUAAAGAAGAAGUAUUCUUUUCAUUUCCAAAAUUAAUAUAUCAUAUAUAUUUAAAUUUUAGCAACAUGAUUAACUCCCAUAUACAUUCUAUCUUCAUAUAAUGUUUUAAAGUCAUAACUUUAAAGAAGAAGUAUUCUUUUCAUUUCCAAAAUUAAUAUAUCAUAUAUAUUUAAACUUUAGGAACAUGAUUAACUCCCACUAACCUUUUGUAAACCUAGUAAACAAAAGAUUCAUUUACAUCUUUAUGAGAAAUCAAACGAUUUGAUCCUUUUUCUCAUAAGAUGCUUAUAGCUCCCACUAGCUUGCUAAGAUUCAUGAUGGUUGGAUCUCUACAACUUAUAUGUCUUGUGAUUCAUAGUUUUAGACAUAUAUAUUAUCAAGACUAUCUUAAUAAUGGUUUCGGAAACCCAUAUAAUGUCCAAACAUUGAAUCACCAUUUAGUUGUAGCUACCUAUCUUCGAAUUAAUUGAAAAACAAGACUACGUCAAAGAUGGUUUCUUCAAAGUCAACCAUUCUCUUUGAUUGCAGUCACCUUAAGCUACCAAUUAGCUAUGGGGGUUUCAUUAUUUCGGGUCAAAUGGUACUUUACCAUUUCCUUGAGUAUAUAUCAUAUAUACACUCAAUGUAGUCAUAAGGAUUUUCAUUCUUAUUUCUUUCGAAUUAAGAGGUGCAACUCUAUGACAUAGUCAUAAAGUUCAAACCAUUCAACUGAGACGGUUUAUAAAUCCUUCUUGACUACCUUGGAGCUUGUGGUAUAGGAACUAGGUUGUUUAUAUUUGUUGAUUAUCAUCUUGUCUCUCAAAGAACCCAUUCUUUGAGUUCUAUCUCUCAUUCAUUUGCUCUUUAGGCAAAUCACAUUGUAGGAUUAAUGAACUACCCAACAAAACAACAUUUGUUAGUUGGUUUAUAGAAGCGAUAUCCAAAAGUUAAUUUAAGGAUAUCCCACAAGAUUCUUAUCAAACAAAUAUUGCUUAUUAGCACACAACCCCAAAUCUUAACAUGAUUAAGAUUUGUCUUUCUUUCCAACUACAUCCUAUGGAGUCAUGAAAAUUUUUGGAAGAUCUUUUAAUUGACAAUCAUAUUGUCUUAGAAGUAUAUAUCCUAUAUAUGGGUAAUUGAUAAUAUCCAAUGAACUAAAUCUUAUUCAAGUUCGUUCUUCUCCUUAUGGAGAAAUCCAUUAUCAUAUUGAUGCUUCUUUCCUUGAUAUCUUUCAAGAAAACAAUAUCUAAAGUGUUACCAUUCCUUGGAUCAAAUCUAAGGAUGUAAAUACUUUAGACGUCUUACUCAUCAACUUACAUUUCUUGAAUUCUUUGAAACCUUUUGCAAAGUAUUCGGACUUGUGUUUAUUCAAAAUAAACUAUAUAGUCCAACCGAGAGUGAUCUUCGGUGAAUGUCAUACAACAUGAGUAGUAUUAUGUUUGUGGACAAGUGCCACUAACAUCUAAGUGAAUUAACCUUAACAACUUUGUGAUUCUUUCUUCUUUCCAAAAGAAUAAAGAUUCGAACAUUUUCGCCUCGCCUCCAAUUUCAACAAGAAGGUAUUGGAUCCUGAAUAUAACGAUCCAAAGCAUCCAUCAAUGACCAACUCGUAAUUUAUGUUUUAGAGGUAUCAACAACUCAGUUGGGAUUAGUCACUACCUUGCAACCUUUUGGGUUUUAAGCAUCAUUAUAUUCUAAACAGUUAACACCACACCAUAUAUCAUCAUCUCUACUAUAUAGAGACAAUCAAUUAGAUUACUAUAAUCCAAUCAUUGAUUAAUAAAGAACAAUGUUUUUGUCAAACAAAACAUUCAUCCAUCUCUAUAGUGACGAAAUUAAAUUCCUUAAAAUUGGAAUGUAAUUAAGACAAUCUUUGGGUUUUCCAAUUUCUUAUUCAUGAGGAAGUAAGUUAUAUCUGCUUUCGCAGAGAUCUAUUUUUAUUCACGUUCCGAAUGUGAAGUACCUUUUCUUCUCUUCUUCUACUUUUUAUUAGUCACACUUUUGAUUGUAAAACAUAGUUUCUAAUACGGAAUCAAGCAUUCAAGUAGAAGAACAACUGUUUUGAACUUGAACUAUUCAAGAACAACAACACCUUCGAAAUGUUGUUUCUUCACUUGUAAGACAUUUCUUGCAAAUACCCCCUUCCAAUGUCCAUCAUUUCAUAAAGAAAGUUUGUUCCCUUUUGGAGUUAUUUUUUAUCUUCUUUAUUUGACUUUCAUUUUGACUUUACAUUAUCAUGUCUAAAUCCCACUUAUUCUCUUGAUUAUAUGUUUCAAAAUUGUGUUUACACAUCAAACAUUUUGGGUAUAGUUUUUAUUGUUCUAGUUUCAUAAAGUGUUUACAAAUAACUUUGUGAACCAUUUAGUUUCCGUUCGUUAAGUGGUUUAAGUGGUCACUUCAACACUCAAUGAUUCAAAAAUCAUCAUAAGUCCAUGUUGAUGGACUAUUUUUGUCAACCAACCAUUAUGUUCUAAACAUAAUUACAAACCUUCAAGAGUUGUACAAGGCAACUCUCAUUUUUCAUACAACAAUUUGUAAGUGAAGAAUCAUGGCACAUUAAGUGUCCAUGCCUUUGUGCUUUCUUCUAAAGUUCCUUGUUCAUGUAACAAAGAAACAAGCACUAAUGUUUGCAUUGAUUAAGGGUUGUUCAAAGCAACUCUUAUUUCUUCAUACAACAAAUUGUAAUUGAAGAAUUAUGACAUUAAAAGUGUUGUCCUCUUUAUGAUAGACUUUAUCUAACAUGUUCUUCCAAUGAUACAUUAUCAAUAGGAAGAUUGUGAGGAUGAGACUACUUAGGUACUUCUACAAUCCAUUUAAGACAAUCUUUGGGAUUGUUGUACCAAGUCCGGAAACUAAAGCAUUCGGUUUUUCUUUGUCAAGUUUUGGAUAACGUUUGCAAAUAUAUUGGUAAACAAAUACAUAACGAAUAUAAAUUGAUUGAUUUUAAGCCAUUUGAUUCGGGUCUUUAAAUCAAAUACCACCACCCACUAUUUUUGGCAAAUUCCAUAUCCCUCAUUGGAAUUCGAGAGUUUUGGAUGAAACUCUUAGUAGGGUAUGGGAGACUCACUACUACCAAGCCCACCUCACAAUGAUAUGAUGUUGGCUAGCAUUAAUAAUAAUGAGAGAGUACGCUUACUCAUUUGCAUCACUUGCAAGUACCCAUCUUAUUUGGCCUCUAGAGAAUGUCACCUCACAAUGAUAUGAUGUUGGCUCCAUUAGUUUGUGAAGGGUUCAAGAAUAGCCUCACAAUGAUAUGAUGUUGGCCAUCCUCGUUGCCUACACUCACCUCAUCAAGUAUGUAUAUAGACUCCUCCUGAGUAUAAGCAUGCACUUUGCACUCCCCCAUGAUAGGGUGAAGGCGGUGUACAAGUCAUAAACGAUUGGAGCUACCAUGGUGGAAGGCCACGAAAGAGUGUUCAAAGCACUCUCACGCUUAUCAACUUAAUAAUGGUUUGGUUGAGGGUUUUAGGUCUCAUCUCAUAUAAACAUACAUUUUAAUCUUAUUAAAACAAUUUUGGUCCUAUUACAACUAUUGGUCCAUUUGAUUGUUUUAGUUGUAUAUAAUACUCCCACUAUGCUUAUAAAACGGUUUUUAAAGCAAGAGUAUAUGAUAGUACUAACAUAAGGUUUGCAUUCAUUGAUGGACUAUAUAGUUGCCUUAGGGCCUUAGGAUGAUUAUGAACCUUUUAAUUAGAUCCAACACGAGCUGUGUUGAAUCUCGGUCUAGGGAUGGUG
rnacentral:lncRNA from 1 species